AUUGACAGAUUGAUAGCUCUUUCAUGAUUUAGUGGUUGGUGGUGCAUGGCCGUUCUUAGUUCGUGGAUAUGAUUUGUCUGGUUGAUUCCGAUAACGAGCGAGACUUUUAUGUUAUAUUAAAUAUUAUUAUUUUUUAUAUAAAUAAUAAUUAUUUUAAUAACAGAUUAAUAGUGUUUAACUAUUUGAGAGAGAGCAAUAACAGGUCUGUGAUGCCCUUAGAUGUCCGGGGCUGCACGCGCGCUACAAU
rnacentral:rRNA from 1 species